AACGAACGUUGGCGGCGUGCCUAACACAUGCAAGUCGAGCGCGGGCAGGACUUCGGUCCUGUUCCGAGCGGCGCACGGGUGAGUAACACGUGAGUAACCUGCCUCGAAGUUUGGGAUAACCGCCCGAAAGGGUGGCUAAUACCGGAUAAGCCCCCACUGGCACAGGCCAGAGAGGGAAAAGCCUUGGCGCUUCGAGAUGGGCUCGCGUCCCAUUAGCUAGUUGGUGAGGUAACGGCUCACCAAGGCGAAGACGGGUAGCUGGGUCUGAGAGGAUGAUCAGCCACACUGGAACUGAGACACGGUCCAGACUCCUACGGGAGGCAGCAGUGGGGAAUAUUGCGCAAUGGGCGAAAGCCUGACGCAGCCACGCCGCGUGAGCGAUGAAGGCC
rnacentral:rRNA from 1 species